UGCUGGAAUUCAAGGAGUGUGCUAUAGAAGUACAUGUCGAUUUUGUUAGAAAGGCAGUCCGUGCUAUUGAUCGCUGUGUAAUCAAGUUGGAGAGAGCAGCAGAGCGAUGCAUCAGUGUUUUGCUGGAGCUGAUUAAGAUUAAAGUCAAUUAUAUGGUUCAAGAAGCCAUUAUAGUUAUUAAGGACAUAUUCAGAAGAUAUCCUAACACCUAUGAGUCCAUUAUUGCUACCCUAUGUGAGAGCUUAGACACUCUUGAUGAGCCAUAGGCCAAGGCAUUAAUGAUUUGGAUUAUUGGCGAAUAUGCAGAAAGAAUUGACAAUGCUGAUGAGCUGCUGGAGAGCUUUCUGGAGAGUUUCCCUGAAGAGCCUUCACAAGUCCAGUUGCAAUUAUUGACAGCGACUGUCAAAUUAUUUUUGCAGAAGCCAACUGAAGGCCCGCAGCAAAUGAUCCAGAUUGGUUAUCUCGAAUGCUGCAAGCAACGAGGUUUUGCAAGCUGCUUUAUCUAGGCAUGCCCUCCUCUGAAAGGGGAAGAUUACUUGUUUUAUUGUCAUCCUGAAAAUCAGAAAAACACCACAUAAUCAGAAACUGCAGAAAUGGUUUGUCCCAUUUACCUUUCUCCUUCUACAGUUGUCUGUUCAUCAAUUUGUUCAUGUACAUGCCUUCUCAAAAGACUAUGCCCAUCUUUUCCCACUGA